rnacentral:rRNA from 1 species
CGACCGGCGCACGGGUGGAGUAACACGUAUCCAACCUGCCGUCUACUCUUGGACAGCCUUCUGAAAGGAAGAUUAAUACAAGAUGGCAUCAUGAGUCCGCAUGUUCACAUGAUUAAAGGUAUUCCGGUAGACGAUGGGGAUGCGUUCCAUUAGAUAGUAGGCGGGGGUAACGGCCCACCUAGUCUUCGAUGGGUAGGGGUUCUGAGAGGAAGGUCCCCCACAUUGGAACUGAGACACGGUCCAAACUCCUACGGGAGGCAGCAUG